rnacentral:rRNA from 1 species
UGUCGUGAGAUGUUGGGUUAAGUCCCGCAACGAGCGCAACCCCUAUCUCUAGUUGCCAUCAUUUAGUUGGGCACUCUAGCGAAACUGCCGGUGACAAGCCGGAGGAAGGUGGGGACGACGUCAAGUCAUCGUGGCCCUUACAGGUUGGGCUACACACGUGCUACAAUGGUAGUGACAAUGGGCAGCCACUCCGCGAGGAGGAGCUAAUCCCUAAAAACUAUCUCAGUUCAGAUUGUAGGCUGCAACUCGCCUGCAUGAAGUCGGAAUCGCUAGUAAUCGUAGAUCAGCAUGCUACGGUGAAUACGUUCCCGGGUCUUGUACACACCGCCCGUCAAGCAAUGGGAGUUGGUUUUACCCGAAGAUGGUGCGCUAACCUCUUGGAGGCAGCCAGCCACGGUAAGAUCAGCGACUGGUGCUAAGUCGUAACAAGGUAGCCAAGGGC